CAGCAUCUGUAUAUGUUUCCACUAGUGGGGGAGUCUAGGACGAGAGGUCAUAGCCUCAGAAUUAAAGGACGUUCUUUUAGGAAGGAGAGGAGGAAAUUUCUGUAGCCAGAGGGUGGUGAAUCUGUGGAAUUCAUU